AUUGAACGCUGGCGGCAGGCCUAACACAUGCAAGUCGAGCGGUAGCACAGAGAGCUUGCUCUCGGGUGACGAGUGGCGGACGGGUGAGUAAUGUCUGGGAAACUGCCCGAUGGAGGGGGAUAACUACUGGAAACGGUAGCUAAUACCGCAUAACGUCGCAAGACCAAAGUGGGGGACCUUCGGGCCUCACACCAUCGGAUGUGCCCAGAUGGGAUUAGCUAGUAGGUGGGGUAAUGGCUCACCUAGGCGACGAUCCCUAGCUGGUCUGAGAGGAUGAACAGCCACACUGGAACUGAGACACGGUCCAGACUCCUACGGGAGGCAGCAGUGGGGAAUAUUGCACAAUGGGCGCAAGCCUGAUGCAGCCAUGCCGCGUGUAUGAAGAAGGCCUUCGGGUUGUAAAGUACUUUCAGCGGGGAGGAAGGCGGUGAAGUUAAUAACUUCACCGAUUGACGUUACCCGCAGAAGAAGCACCGGCUAACUCCGUGCCAGCCGCCGCCGUAAGAC
rnacentral:rRNA from 1 species